GCGUCCACCGGAUCCAUCGCCCGGGUCACGACCAGGUAGUCGCGCAGCGCGAUCGCAUGCCGGUUGUC
rnacentral:sRNA from 1 species